UAGGAUGUUAUGCCUGAAAUUGGAAUUCAGCUAUCAGAGAUUAGCAAAAUUCAAGCGGAAACUCUAGAUGGCGUUGAUGUGGGUCUAUGAUGAAGUUUAUGAGUAACAAGUUAAAUGGGUGUUUGUUAAGUUACCCUGUUAUGUGUUUCAACAGAUUUUUCUUCAGAAAAUUUACGAUUGCUUUUCGUAUGUGGUAGUGUUUCGCCUUGUCAGCUAUGCCAGCUGCUGAACCAGCACCCAGCAGCCUGCAUUCCUGCUAUCAAUAUACCACAAGAGAUCCAGACACUUUAAGAAGGCCACUAUUGCUUACAUGAAGAUCACCAUCCAGUUCAACAUCAGCCCUCAGCAUCCCAGGUAUCCAGAUUUCCAAGUUUCUCUGAUUAGCCAACCAUCAUCCAUACCCUUCAGCUCUUCAUUGUGGCUUCUCUUCAUCCCUUCUUAGUCUGCUGAAUGCCAACAUUGAAUUAAGGUUCAUUGACAUUGCCUUUCCAUGGGAAAAUCUUCACUGUUAAUCCUGCUGUUCUUCUCACCGGUACUUAGUCAGCUCACAUGGAUAGGCUUUAACAUCUCCAUUUUUUGGACUGCAAAUAUCUUCCUUCGGUACAACACUGCCGUUUUGACAAUUUCGGUAGUUUCGCCCCCAGUGGACCACACGCAACUACAUUUUCUUCGUCUUCCUAUCGUUGUUGUCUACGACUUCACCUCAUCGCUGUCUUCGUUGACGUCUUCGCCUUCAUCUCCGUCUCGUCGUCUUGGUUCUCUUCGCUUUCAUCUCCGUCUCGUCGUCUUAGUCGUCUUCGCCUUCAUCUCCGUUUCGUCGUCUUGGUCGUCUUCGCCUUCGUCUCCGUUUCGUCCUCUUGGUCGUCUUCGCCUUUAUCUCCGUCUCGUCGUUUUCGCCUUUUUUGUCUACCUGGUCGCCGUGGAUCGUCGAUCUGGUAUUGUUUCAUUUUGCAUUGUUAUGUUUAAGUUAACCCGUUGGCUGCCACCCCGUUUGCGUCCCAUUUUUUUUGUAGCUUGUAGGGACCGGCCGCAAUGGCCUUCGCCGCAAGGCGCCUUAGGCAAUG
rnacentral:lncRNA from 1 species